UACGUAGGGGGCGAGCGUUACCCGGAUUUACUGGGCGUAAAGGGGGCGUAGGCGGCCGUGAAAGUCCGGUGUGAAAACUCACGGCUCAACCGUGGGACUGCGCUGGAAACUACACGGCUUGAGGACGGUAGAGGGAGACGGAACUGCUGGUGUAGGGGUGAAAUCCGUAGACAUCAGCAGGAACGCCGGUGGAGAAGUCGGUCUCCUGGGCCGUUCCUGACGCUGAGGCCCGAAAGCUAGGGGAGCAAACCGG
rnacentral:rRNA from 1 species